AGUGAACGCUGGCGGUAGGCCUAACACAUGCAAGUCGAACGGCAGCACAGUAAGAGCUUGCUCUUACGGGUGGCGAGUGGCGGACGGGUGAGGAAUACAUCGGAAUCUACUUUUUCGUGGGGGAUAACGUAGGGAAACUUACGCUAAUACCGCAUACGACCUACGGGUGAAAGCAGGGGAUCUUCGGACCUUGCGCGAUUGAAUGAGCCGAUGUCGGAUUAGCUAGUUGGCGGGGUAAAGGCCCACCAAGGCGACGAUCCGUAGCUGGUCUGAGAGGAUGAUCAGCCACACUGGAACUGAGACACGGUCCAGACUCCUACGGGAGACAGCAGUGGGGAAUAUUGGACAAUGGGCGCAAGCCCGAUCCAGCCAUACCGCGUGGGUGAAGAAGGCCUUCGGGUUGUAAAGCCCUUUUGUUGGGAAAGAAAAGCAGCAGGUUAAUACCCCGCUGUUCUGACGGUACCCAAAGAAUAAGCACCGGCUAACUUCGUG
rnacentral:rRNA from 1 species